CGGAGGGUCAUGAGGGAGGAACCCUCGCACGCGGGAGGUCAUGAGGGCGGAGCCCUCGUACGCGGGAGGUCAUGAGGGCGGAACCCUCGUAUAUGGAAUUCAUUCUCUUUUAAAGAGACCAAAGAACGACUUUACUCCUUCCACCACGUGAGGGCACAGAGAGAAGACAACCGCCGUCUAUGAACCAGGAAGCCCCCACCAGGCACUGAAUCUGCCCCUGCCUUGACUUGGACUUGCAGCCUCCAGAACUGUCCAAAUUUUGGUCUGGAGCCAAAGACUAUAGGACGAAGUUUGAUUUGUUCCAAAACUCACAGAAAUCUCUAAAAUGGAAGAAUUUUCUUAGAACCAAAAGGCAUGGAAUUGAUGACAUGAAACUGGGGGAAAGAACUCAGCAGAGCUUAUCCGAUCUGAGAGAAGAAUAUUUCAAAAGAAAGGGCCAGUUUAGGAAAGACAUUAAACAUCUUCACCCCAAAGCUGAACCGCCCGGCACAGACUGUGUGUGGAGGAUGCACUGGAGUGUGGUGGAUCUGUAGAAACUGCAGUGGAGCUGAGCUUUGGUGUGAGAAAAAGAGACCGAAGAUAGUAAACAUUUCCCUCAAAGCACUCCCCAAGGGGUCAACCUUACGGGUAGCUCACAACCUUACACCUGCCUGCGUCAGAAUAAACAAGUGCAAGAAAACGCCCGACACAGAAGCUGCAUCUCUGGAGCCCAUGAACACCCCAGCACCUCUGCUGCACUCUGCUUCCAUGAAUUCACACCUGUCUUUUGCGUUAUGAAAACUUGUAUCCACCUUCAUCCUGGAGAGACGUGGAUCAAAAAGGGCUUGCUGACAGUUCCAACAGCAAUCACGCCAUUGCUGAGCCAGCAUUGUAAUGUUUCUCUAGAUGCUUGAAGUUUCACCUCAGAUAUUCCUCAUCUUCACUUGGCCAUAACCUCUUUCCUUUUGAAGGUAUAUUGGUGGAUAUGCCGUAGAACACAUUCUCCGUUGAAUUUAACUGGGUCAGCAAUUUACUUCUACUGGGUCAAUGGAUUCUCUGCUUUAGGAAGAAAUUCUGUUGCAAAGUGCAUGGGCUGAAAUAAAUCUGAUUUGUGGGAAGACAUUAUAAUGAGACACUAAUGAGGGCCCUGAGUCCAAAGAACGAAUGUCACCUGGAAAUUUUGAUCGAGGAGAGCGGGCUGAUGAGCAAUCUCUGCAGCCCACAGCCCAGUGGCCCCUCUUGCCAGGCGGUCCUGGCUCAUCCCCAUGGGCCUGCUCUCGGGCAGGAGGCAGAGGAUGCCCAGUGAGCAUUCAGCAGACCCUGGGUUGCCCUGCCUCAGGCCAGCACGGGCCCUCUCUCUGCUCAGCAUUACACAAGUUGGAAAGGGCGACACAAAACAAGGACAGAGGCAAACUGAAAGCUUUCCUCUUCACUGGAUAUGAUGCAGGCAUUUAAAAAUAAAUUAACUUCCCAAACCUU